rnacentral:rRNA from 1 species
UCAGCCACACUGGGACUGAGACACGGCCCAGACUCCUACGGGAGGCAGCAGUGGGGAAUCUUGCGCAAUGGGCGAAAGCCUGACGCAGCGACGCCGCGUGAGGGAAGAAGGCCUUCGGGUUGUAAACCUCUUUCAGGAGGGACGAAGCUACUCGGGUUAAUAGCCCAGAGGGUGACGGUACCUCCAGAAGAAGCCCCGGCUAACUACGUGCCAGCAGCCGCGGUAAUACGUAGGGGGCAAGCGUUGUCCGGAUUUACUGGGCGUAAAGAGCGUGUAGGCGGCAAAGCAGGUCUGUUGUGAAAACUGGAGGCUCAACCUCCAGACGUCGACAGAAACCGCUUGGCUAGAGUCCGGAAGAGGAGAGUGGAAUUCCUGGUGUAGCGGUGAAAUGCGCAGAUAUCAGGAAGAACACCAAUGGCGAAGGCAGCUCUCUGGGACGGUACUGACGCUGAGACGCGAAAGCGUGGGGAGCGAACAGGACUAGAUACCCUGGUAGUCCACGCCGUAAACGAUGGGUGCUAGGUGUGGGGGGUGUCGACUCCCUCCGUGCCGCAGCUAACGCAUUAAGCACCCCGCCUGGGGAGUACGGCCGCAAGGCUAAAACUCAAAGGAAUUGACGG